rnacentral:lncRNA from 1 species
CCACCUUCGUCCUCCUCGACCACCUCGUCGCCGUGCUCUUCCUCCAUCAGCCCCUCGUCGACCACGUUGUCAUCGUCCACCUCGACCUCCUCCGAUCGCUGCCAAAUACCGCCAAACACCUACGUUGGGUGACUCAAAAGAAUCAGCUAGCCGAAUUCCUCAGUCUGGAAACAACCGCGCAGUAGAGCGGACGGAUGAGAAUCGCGCUCUGCAGAUUUCGAGUACCGAGUUUUCAACCUCCUGGAUUCUGUGCUUCGGGUCCGCGACCUGGUGUAACUCGACUUCCAGGACAAGCGCUCAGUAGUUACUACGCUCCAGGUCGGCUACCUGGUGAAACUCGACUUCCAGGACAAGCGCUCAGUAGUUCCUACGCUCCAGUUUUCCAGUUUUUCGUGGCGCUCCAUGGUUCCUGCGCUCCAGGCCCGCUACCUGGUGAAACCCGACUUCCAGGACAAGCGCUCCGUAGUUCUGGCUGUCCAGGUUCUCGACCUGGUGAUUUUUGACCUUCCGGCUUAAUUUUCAAGUUUACAAGUGUACAACCCGAGGUGGUUAUCGGUGGUUGUUCGAGGUGGUUGGCGAUUGUUGGAG